ensembl:lncRNA
GUCCAAGUCCAGUCUCAAGUCCCUCAGGUCCAAGUCCAGUCUCAAGUCCCUCAGGUCCAAGUCCAGUCUCAAGUCACUAGGCUCUGAGAUCCAAGUCCAGUCUCAAGUCACUAGGCUCUGAGAUCCAAGUCCAGUCUCAAGCCUCCAGGCUCUGAGAUCCAAGUCCAGUCUCAAGCCUCCAGGCUCUGAGAUCCAAGUCCAGUCUCAAGCCUCCAGGCUCUGACGUCCAAGCCAAGCCUCCAGGUCCUGAGGUCCAAGCCAAGCCUCCAGGCUCUGAGGUCCAAGCCAAGCCUCCAGGCUCUGAGGUCCAAGCCAAGCCUCCAGGCUCUGACGUCCAAGCCAGGCCUCCUGGCUCUGACGUCCAAGCCAAGUCUCACGUCCCUGAGCUCACGUUCAAGCCUGCUGAUCCAGUUGACCAAGCUCUGCUAAUAUCUAAGCCUAACGACCAAGUUCUGCUCACGCCCCAGUCUGCUGACACGCCCAGCCAAGCUCUGCUCACGCCCCAGUCUGCUGACACGCACCGCCAAGUUCUACUCACGCCACAGUCUGCUGACAUGGCCACCCAAGCUCUGCUCAUGCCCAAGGUUUACCUGGUGACCUCAGAGCCUCAGCCUCCCUGUUCAGCUGAGGUCGUCGCUCAGCCUCCCUGUUCAGCUGAGGUCGUCGCUCCGCUUCCUUACGCCGCCAAGAACACUGUGCAGUUUCCUAGCUCUGCUUGGGACGUUCAGCGCCAAUGAAGUGGGAUGACUCAUGGCACUCCGGGAGGAGGAGUAACCCCCACCCCAGUUUCCAAUAACAUUGAAAACAUUAAUCAGGGGUCAAUAUCAGAAACUCAUAUUGACAUUCACACUCCGUGUCACGAUUCCCCCUUGAAGCAGCGUGCUCUAAGCGCGAAUGCGCGAGCACCUGCUUUUCCGUUGUUGACUGUAAUGACAUCUGGACACUUGUGUUUUGUUUAUGUUUCUGUCAUGUCUCCUCCCU